GUGCUGCGCAUAACACUAUUUCUACAAAAUACAUUGUAUGGAAAUUGUUAUAAAUAAGAAGAUGUGGUAUGAUUGCCAAUGAGACAACUGUGCUUAAGAGACCAAAAUGGCACAGACAUUAACAACUAUAGGUCAUAAUACGGCCUUCAACAAUGAGCCAAGCCCAUACCGCAUAGUCAGCUAUAAAAGGCCCCGAAAUGACAAUUUAAAACAAAUCAAACGAGAAAACAAACUGCCUUAUUUAAAUAAAAAAAUGAACAAAAAACAAAUAUGUAACACAAAAACAAACGACAACCACUGGAUUACAGGCUCAUGACUUGGGACAGGCACAUACAUAAAUAAUGUGUGUGGGUUAAACAUGUUAGCGGGAUCCCAACCCUCCCC
rnacentral:lncRNA from 1 species